CAAUAGCGUAUAUUAAAGUUGUUGCGGUUAAAAGCUCGUAGUUGGAUUUCUGCUUGGGAGGACCGGUCCGCCCUCUGGGUGAGCAUCUGGUUUUUCCUGGGCAUCCUCUUGGGGAACGUGGCUGCGAUUGAGUUCGUGGCGCGGUACCCAGGACUUUUACUUUGAGGAAAUUAGAGUGUUUCAAGCAGGCAUCUGCCUUGAAUACAUUAGCAUGGAAUAAUAGGAUAGGACCUCGUUUCUACCUUGUUGGUUCGUAGAGGUGAGGUAAUGAUUAAUAGGGAUAGUCGGGGGCAUUCGUACUUAACUGUCAGAGGUGAAAUUCUUGGAUUUGUUAAAGACGAACUACUGCGAAAGCAUUUGCCAAGGAUGUUUUCAUUGAUCAAGAACGAAAGUUAGGGGAUCGAAGACGAUUAGAUACCAU
rnacentral:rRNA from 1 species